AGACAAAGUAGACACAGAAGAUAUAGAGGACGAAGAAGACGCAGAUGACACAGAAGACACAGAGGACAUAGAGAACAAAGAAGACACGGAGGACAAACUAGGGUGAACAUUGGCAUCACGUUUCAAAGAUGACGGCCGUCACACGGCCUGCAAAGCCGGUGUUAUGCUAAGUUACCAACAUGCAGCAUCUUCAGCUCCACUCCUUCAUAGAAUGAAUAAAACAAUGAUGACUGAUCUGUGUACGGCAGAAGAAGGAACCACAAUGAGACCCGUGAGAUGCUCUGAUGAAACCGGCAAACAAAUGAAGUCAUGAGCUACCAGCUCCCACACCUCCUGCUCGCCGUCUGCGUGCCGGCCUGUCCUCUGGCCAGUGGGAUGUUUGAGUGGCUGAGGAACCCACAACCUUCUCCUGCAGCACCUCCUCCUUCUCCUCCACCUCCUCCUGUUGCUCCAGCACAUCUCUCGCCUAAGGAUGCUUAGUUUGAGGUGAUGAUGGCAGACCAGAAGCUUCUGUCGGAAGCGGAGCAGCUGGAGCUCAUGACAUCUGUCAUUCCAAGUUGCAGUCCUCUUCAGGUGUUUUCCUGGGUGAGGUCCAGCUGUGAGAGCCUCUUGGAGGAAACUUUAGUAAAGCUGGGUGUGGAGAUGUUCAACUGCCAGACAGACGGGAGCAGUAAGGAGUGCACGUCUGACAUCCAGACAUGUGGAACACCACAUAGUGAGUAACCAAGCUGGAUCGGUUUGCUACACGACCCGUCAGCAGCUCUUUCUGGACCAAGCAGAGCUCACAAUUAACACCCUCAUGUACACGGUGACCAUCCAGCUUCCUGAAGAAUCUCCUUUGUGCUGUGAGGCUGCAGAUCUUGGCCUGAUUCCACCUGGUUGUGUUUUUUAAUUAAACAGGAGGGACUGCUGGAGCUGAAGGACCUGACUGCAGCUUCUCUGGACAAGCUAAUGGAGGUCACGGAGCUCUGCAGGGGAGGAGGUGGAGACCUCACUGAGGAAAAUUCUGGAAUGACUGGGUCAGGCGAGGAUAACACUCUUAUGGACUGUAAUUAGAACUGAGCACUAUGGCCUCAAAUUAGUAUCAUGUUGAAAGUUCUUGUUUACAUCCUGGUAACUGCUCACAUCCGCACAACCUGGAGGGCAAGAACCCCACCUCCAAACAUGAUCCAGAGCUGUAUUUCUGUGAUUUAAGCCAACAAAAUAAAACCUAGGGAUUUAGAUAUUAGUACUUAAGAUCAUCUAACACGUCUUUGUGCAGAUGAAUAAAGAAUAAACAAACUAACGGUGUUUAGCACAACGCUUCCAGAUCUGUUUGAAGUAGGGCUAAUGAGCUGUGAGACGACAGUCCUCCUCAGAACCAUCACCUGGACAAUGAAGGUGUUCUUCUACGUCACAGGAGUCAAACUCCAGAUCUCAAGUGCCGCUUUCCCACAUGUUUUGUGUUUCUCCUGUUUCAACACACCUGAUUUCAAUCAGCAGGUGAUUACCAACCUUCUGGAGAGCGUGGAGCUGCUGCACAGGUGAAUCACCUUUGUUGGAACAGGGAAACAACAGAAAUGCAGGAUACCCGCCCUCGUGGACUGGAGUUUGACACCUCUGUUCUACGUGUUGCAGGUCGGUGCUGAAGGAUCGCCGUGACAAUGCUCGUCUUUGAAGAUGAACAGAUUAUUUAUUCUGAUGAGUAAUGUAAACAAAAACAUGAAACAAACGACAUUGAAGGCUGCCAAUUACAACACAUUUUAUGUAAUUAUUGUAACUAGACCGUUACCGCAGGUCACUCAGAACCACACACCACACCGAUGUUUUCAUUUUCACACGUUUAUGUCUCGAACCGAUCAGUAGCUCAGUUCUGCUCCUCAUUCCUGCGGUCGUACAUAAUUAUGUAAAAGAGCUCAUGAGCCAUUAGAUGGCUAUAACCUGUUUGUGUCUGCACAUGUGGGGCAGAUGUUUACUUUUUUAUUGUAGAAUUUGCUUCUGUGUAUUUUACCAGCUGGAAACCUCACGCUUAGACUACUGCAACUCUCUUUUCACGUGUCUGAGCAGAACCUCCCUGAACCGUCUACAGGUGGUUCAGAAUGCCUGUGCUCGGCUUCUGACCAACUCCUCCAAACACACCCACAUCACCCCGCUUCUCCUCCAGAUUAAUUGGCUGCCAGUCAACUUCAGGGUUCAUUUCAAGAUCCUGGUUCUGGUCUAUAGGUCCUUACGUGGACAAGCACCAUCUUACAUUGGUGAUCUUCUUAGUCCCUACACCCCCAGCAGGUCCCUGAGGUCCAGUGACCAAAGCCUACUGGUUGUGCAGCACCAGGCUAAAGACCAAAGGUGACAGAUCAUCUGCUGCUGUGGCCCCCAGACUCUGGACCUCUCUCCCCCUGAGCCUGAGAUCAGUGGACUCAGUGGUCUCCUUCAAAAAGCAGCUGAAGACUCACUUGUUCAAGCUGGCUUUUGUAUGACCUUCUUCACCACUCUCUCUUUAUUCUGCUCUCCCCACCUAUUCCACCUUCCUCAGGAUCCACUGAUUUCCCUCCUUCCUAUUCACUCUCUCUCUUUCUUAACAUUUUUUUAUCACAAUUGUCUAUUUUUGCUCAUUUUAAAUAUAUUUUAAACAUUUUCUAAAUUCUUUUUUAUAUUUUUACAUUUUUUGUUUUUGUGAAGCGCCUCGUGAUUUUUAUCUUGAGAGGCGCUAUAGAAAUAAUAUUUUCUUCUUCUGUAAAAGUUUACUUUUAUCGUCCCUUGUUUGUUUACUUGUGCAGCCUACAGCGCCGUGCGUUAACCUCGCUGAUGGAUAUUAUUUAGCCGUUUAUUGAAAACUAACAGCUAAACACGACGGUGGUCAACAGGGAGGUGCCGGCUUCUUGCCCUCUAGCCAGAGCCUGGGGGCGGGGGCUGGGGGUGCUGAUGUGACGUGUAUGUUUGUUAACCGUGAGUUUACUUUUAAACAGUCGAUACAAAUUUUGUUUUAAUUGCUAAUUGUUGUGUCUUGGUGCUCUAAAUUGUAUUUAGUAAUAAUGUUUGGCUCUAGACAAGUGUUUCACUUCAGUCAAAACCCUUUUCAGUCAUAAUUGUUAUUUUUAUAUUUGCUUAAGAUUGUGAUGUUUGUGUUAUGAUAUUGGCUGGAAAUAAACCAAACCAAAUCUGUUAAA